rnacentral:misc_RNA from 1 species
GAUGAAGAACGCAGCGAAAUGCGAUACUUGGUGUGAAUUGCAGAAUCCCGUGAACCAUCGAGUCUUUGAACGCAAGUUGCGCCCGAAGCCAUUAGGCCGAGGGCACGCCUGCCUGGGCGUCACACGUCGUUGCCCCCCCAUCAACUCCUUCGGGAUUGCGGGGGGCGGAUGAUGGCCUCCCGUGCGCCUCGCCGCGCGGUUGGCAUAAAUGCCAAGUCCUCGGCGACGCACGCCACGACAAUCGGUGGUUGCGAAACCUCGGUUGCCCGUCGUGUGCGGUCGUCGCGCAUCGAGGGCUCGAAAAAAUUGCCGGGUUCCGGCUCGGCUUUCAACGCGACCCCAGGUCAGGCGGGGUUACCCGCUGAAUUUAAGCAUAUCAAUAAGCGGAGGA